GUGAUGAUAAACACUUUAUCCACGGUUACCUAACCCUUCGAACACAGUUCAGUGCACUAACCCCUGGGUGCCAACAAAUCGUGUUUGGCGCCAAAGGUGGAGAUGGGGACCUCCAGCCACAACGACGUGGACCUCAGCUGGAUCCCUCAGGAGACCCUCAACCAGAUCAUGCAGAGUCGCAGAGACAAAGCGUCUCCCAGAAGAUCUCCUCGCAAGAGG